ACAGACACAGAGUUACACGCUGCUUUUCCCUGAAGAUCACUACAUGGGGACUAGAACCUGAGAACACACACACACACACAAGAGUUACUCAAGUAGGGCUUUGCCCAGAUAAAAAGCCAUCCUGCAUCUUGGACCUGGAGGUACCAUGGCAGACAUAGAUGCAAGCAACCGACUCAAAGACACCAAGUCCACCGAAACAUUAACCAGACUGGUUCACCGAAACGUCAAUAACACCAAAACUGCAGAAAUGAAUGACUGGGAGAAACAUGCUGAGGACUUGGAUUUGAUUCAGUGGAAGAACCAUGUACAGCAAGUUAAGAGCGAGGUCCUGGAACAGAUGCAGAGCCAGCUCAGUGACCUGCUGGACAAGGCCCUAACAGAGUCCUUCCAGAAAUUCAUACAGAAUGGGCACUACGUCACGAAGGACGGGACAGCCUUAGCCAAUAGCACCAAUCCAAACAGGUAAGGCCCUAUGGUUCCGCUUAGUACCAUACUACACAAUGCUAUACUUUAUUAGAAUAUACUUACCAGAAAAGACAACAACAUACAGUUUAGGACCAAAUGUACUUUACAAAAUGUAAUUUUUGUACCCUCCUUGAUUGGCUAAAACCUCUGGUGCAUGACAAAAAACAUUUGAUGUUCAAUCCAUUUUACAAUAGUAAUAAGACACCUUGGGGGUUUGUAGUACACGGCCAAUAAACCAUGGUAUACAAAGUGAUGUAUCCGUUCUUAUCUGUGGUAUAGUGGCUAUAUAAAUACCCCUUGUAACUUAUUGCCUCAAGUAUGUUGUUUCUCGUCAGAUGUUGGGAAAUACUGGUGACGUGCCAUUGUAGUUACCUUCUCAUGCUAAACUUAUUUAUUCUUUUCAGAACACAUAUGGAAAAAGAUGGAAAAAUAUUUAUGGAACGACGAUCCAUUCUAGAGUAAGCAUUUUAUAUUGUGUGUGGGACACCCUAAACGGAUAACCAGAAAAUCUUAAUCAUUAGAUUCAUGGCGUGACUUUGGCCACGUUGAUUGUCAUAUGACCUACCUGGUAAAAUAACAGAGAUAUAGGAAUUCACUAAAUCUGUAGCAUGAAAUACAUUUGAAUCCUCUUUACCUUGUUAUUUAGGAUUACCUCACUCUACCUAGAGCUUAAGCUUGCCUAGAAUGCAUGUAUACACGAAUGAAUAAAC
ensembl:lncRNA